UUAAGUGACGAUAGCCUAGAAUACACCUUUCCCAUGCGAACACAGAAGUUAAGCCCUAGAGCCUGAUGUAGUUGGGGGUUGCCCCCUGUUAGAUACGGUAGUCGCUUAGC
rnacentral:rRNA from 1 species